UACGUAGGUGGCAAGCGUUGUCCGGAUUUACUGGGCGUAAAGGGCGCGUAGGCGGCGCAACAAGUCACUUGUGAAAUCUCCGGGCUUAACCCGGAGCGGCCAAGUGAUACUGUCGUGCUAGAGUGCGGAAGGGGCAACUGGAAUUCUCGGUGUAGCGGUGAAAUGCGUAGAUAUCGGGAGGAACACCAGUGGCGAAGGCGGGUCUCUGGACAGUUCCUGACACUGAGGCACGAAGGCCAGGGGAGCAAACGGG
rnacentral:rRNA from 1 species